rnacentral:rRNA from 1 species
AAACUCAAAGGAAUUGACGGGGACCCGUACAAGCGGCGGAGCAUGUGGAUUAAUUCGAUGCAACGCGAAGAACCUUACCUGGGCUUGACAUAUACGGGACCGGGCCAGAGAUGGUCCUUCCCUUGUGGCUCGUAUACAGGUGGUGCAUGGUUGUCGUCAGCUCGUGUCGUGAGAUGUUGGGUUAAGUCCCGCAACGAGCGCAACCCUUGUCUUAUGUUGCCAGCACGUAAUGGUGGGGACUCGUGAGAAACUGCCGGGGUCAACUCGGAGGAAG